rnacentral:lncRNA from 1 species
UGCACAGUAAACACGAUAAACACCAUAAGCUUGACGGCUUCGACCGUCGGGGGAUAGCUCAGGCGUGAGAGUCAGUAUACAUGUUCACGAGGUUAACAAUGGAGGAUAAUAAUUGUCUAGUGUAUUGAGAGAGAUAAUAAUUCUCAGUCGUGUGUGUAUGUGAACGUGAAUGUUAACGUACCUCUUUGUGAAGACCUCC